rnacentral:piRNA from 1 species
UUGUUAUUCGUCAGCUUUUUG